ensembl:snoRNA
ACUGGGAGAUGAUGUGAACAAAAGGCCGAAUUGUAGCGCCACCCUCAGGCAGCUGGUUCUCAGAGCGCGGCGCCGUGACAAAGACCGACCGAAGCGUUCAUCUGAUCCCCAUCAGU